GGGAUAUUGCACAAUGGGCGCAAGCCUGAUGCAGCGACGCCGCGUGAGUGAAGAAGUAUUUCGGUAUGUAAAGCUCUAUCAGCAGGGAAGAAAGGCCCGCAAGGGAGAUGACGGUACCUGACUAAGAAGCCCCGGCUAACUACGUGCCAGCAGCCGCGGUAAUACGUAGGGGGCAAGCGUUAUCCGGAUUUACUGGGUGUAAAGGGAGCGCAGACGGAACUGCAAGUCUGAUGUGAAAGCCCGGGGCUCAACCGCGGGACUGCAUCGGAUACUGUAGAUCUGGAGUGCCGGAGGGGCAAGCGGAAUUCCUGGUGUAGCGGUGAAAUGCGUAGAUAUCAGGAGGAACACCGGCGGCGAAGGCGGCUUGCUGGACGGCAACUGACGUUGAGGCUCGAAAGCAUGGGUAGCGAACA
rnacentral:rRNA from 1 species